rnacentral:misc_RNA from 1 species
ACGAAGGACGUCCGGGGUUGACGCUGGCCUUUCGAGGCAUGUGCUCGCCCCGUUCACAUCAUCCCUCUCACACCUGUGCACUCUUGCGUGGGUCGGCGACCUCGCCGGCCUGCGUUUUCUCACAAACACCUUGCAUGUCAAAGAAUGAUCAUCGAUGCUCAUAACGCAUCUCAUA